GAUGAACGCUGGCGGCGUGCCUAAUACAUGCAAGUCGAGCGAACGGACGAGAAGCUUGCUUCUCUGAUGUUAGCGGCGGACGGGUGAGUAACACGUGGAUAACCUACCUAUAAGACUGGGAUAACUUCGGGAAACCGGAGCUAAUACCGGAUAAUAUUUUGAACCGCAUGGUUCAAAAGUGAAAGACGGUCUUGCUGUCACUUAUAGAUGGAUCCGCGCUGCAUUAGCUAGUUGGUAAGGUAACGGCUUACCAAGGCAACGAUGCAUAGCCGACCUGAGAGGGUGAUCGGCCACACUGGAACUGAGACACGGUCCAGACUCCUACGGGAGGCAGCAGUAGGGAAUCUUCCGCAAUGGGCGAAAGCCUGACGGAGCAACGCCGCGUGAGUGAUGAAGGUCUUCGGAUCGUAAAACUCUGUUAUUAGGGAAGAACAUAUGUGUAAGUAACUGUGUACAUCUCGACGGUACCUAAUCAGAAAGCCACGGCUAACUACGUG
rnacentral:rRNA from 1 species